UUCAAACAUUAAAUUCUUAACCAAACAAAGAUGAAAAACAAUACCCAGAUAGCCACGAAACAAAGUUUGUCUACCCAAACCACCCACAACUGCUACACAAAUAACAGAUAACAUGAUACACCCAAAAUCAAAGAUAUUCAUCGGUAAACAGUACCCAAACAAGAAACACAUCAUAUAUUCAUUAUAAAGCAACCCGACCGAGUAAUACAUACUCAGUUGGCGCGGCCUCUGAUAACGUCGAGAUCCAUCUCCGUCGGAUCCGUCGCCUGCAGCUCCACCUGGAUGCCAUCCAGCUCCCUCUUGAACCUCUCCUUCGAGCUCGCAUACAGCAUCUUACUCCUCACCCUCGACACAUCAGGAGUCCACGCGAUGAAGAAGAUCCUGCUCUUCUGGCAGUUCUCAGCUGUGACGAAGUCGAAGUCGUAGAUCGCGUAUCUGCACUCGUUAACAGGCAAGCUGGCGCUGAAGUCCUCGUAGCUCUGCGUCGGAUCGCCGCACUUCUCGACGACGACUUGCUUCAGCUUCUCGUCGAUCUUGAAGAUGAUGGAGCGGUGAGUCCGCUUCGCCUUGAGCUCGAGGAAGCGCAGCUUGCACUCGUCGUUCACCGCCAUCCCCGACGCGGCGUUGGCCAUGAUUCGCGGCGGCGAUCGGCGGCGGUGGGGAGAGAAUUUAGGGAUUUGGGGGAAGAGGCAGGUGGGCGCCGAUGAGGGAAAGGUGGAGGAGGAUGGGC
rnacentral:misc_RNA from 1 species